AGAGUUUGAUCCUGGCUCAGAUUGAACGCUGGCGGCGUGCUUAACACAUGCAAGUCGAACGCGAAAGGGGGCUUCGGCUCCCGAGUAGAGUGGCGCACGGGUGAGUAACGCGUGGAUAAUCUGCCCUCUUGUUCGGGAUAACUGCUGGAAACGGCAGCUAAUACCGGAUAAGCUCCCCCAAUUGUUUGGUGGAGGAAAGGAGGCCUCUUCAUGAAAGCUUCCGCGAGGGGAUGAGUCCGCGUCCCAUUAGCUAGUUGGUGAGGUAACGGCCCACCAAGGCAACGAUGGGUAGCCGGUCUAAGAGGAUGACCGGCCACACUGGAACUGAAACACGGUCCAGACUCCUACGGGAGGCAGCAGUGGGGAAUAUUGCGCAAUGGACGAAAGUCUGACGCAGCGACGCCGCGUGAGGGAUGAAGGUUUUCGGAUCGUAAACCUCUGUCAGGAGGGAAGAAAGCGCAUGGCGCCAAUCAGUCAUGCGUUGACGGUACCUCCAAAGGAAGCGCCGGCUAACUCCGUGCCAGCAGCCGCGGUAAUACGGAGGGCGCGAGCGUUAAUCGGAAUUACUGGGCGUAAAGCGCGCGUAGGCUGUUGUGUAAGUUGGGGGUGAAAUCCCACGGCUCAACCGUGGAACAGCCCUUGAUACUGCGCGACUUGAAUCCGGGAGAGGGUGGCGGAAUUCCAGGUGUAGGAGUGAAAUCCGUAGAUAUCUGGAGGAACAUCAGUGGCGAAGGCGGCCACCUGGACCGGUAUUGACGCUGAGGCGCGAAAGCGUGGGGAGCAAACAGGAUUAGAUACCCUGGUAGUCCACGCUGUAAACGAUGGAUGCUGGAUGUCGGGGAGUAAUCCCCGGUGUCGUAGCCAACGCGAUAAGCAUCCCGCGUGGGGAGUACGGUCGCAAGGCUGAAACUCAAAGAAAUUGACGGGGGCCCGCACAAGCGGUGGAGUAUGUGGUUUAAUUCGAUGCAACGCGAAGAACUUUACCUGGGUUUGACAUCCGGGGGAUCCUCCCGAAAAGGGGGAGUGCCCUUCGGGGAGCCCCGAGACAGGUGAUGCAUGGCUGUUCGUCAGCUCGUGUCGUGAGAUGUAGGGUUAAGUCCCGCAACGAGCGCAACCCCUGCGUCAUAGUUGCCAGCAGGCAAAGCUGGGCACUCUAUGCGGACCGCCCGGGUUAACCGGGAGGAAGGUGGGGAGGACUUCAAGUCAUCAUGACCCUUACACCCAGGGCAACACAUUUAUUCCAAUGGCGCGCACAAAGGGCAGUGAGACCGUGAGGUGGAGCGAAUCCCAAAAAACGCGU
rnacentral:rRNA from 1 species